CAGUCGCCGCGGGAAUACGAAGGGUGCAAGCGUUAAUCGGAAUUACUGGGCGUAAAGCGUGCGUAGGCGGUGAGUUAAGUCCGUUGUGAAAGCCCUGGGCUCAACCUGGGAAUUGCAGUGGAUACUGGGUCACUAGAGUGUGGUAGAGGAUAGUGGAAUUUCCGGUGUAGCAGUGAAAUGCGUAGAGAUCGGAAGGAACAUCUGUGGCGAAGGCGACUAUCUGGGCCAACACUGACACUGAGGCACGAAAGCGUGGGGAGCAAACAGGAUUAGAUACCCCAGUAGUCCCUGUCUCUUAUAC
rnacentral:rRNA from 1 species